rnacentral:rRNA from 1 species
AUACGUAGGUGACAAGCGUUAUCCGGAUUUACUGGGCGUAAAGGGCGUGUAGGCGGUCUUGCAAGUCGGAAGUGAAAUUCCUGAGCUCAACUCGGGCGCUGCUUCUGAAACUGCAGGACUUGAGUGCUGGAGGGGAUAGCGGAAUUCCUAGUGGAGCGGUAAAAUGCGCAGAUAUUAGGAAGAACACCAGUGGCGAAGGCGGGUAACUGGACUGCAACUGACGCUGAGGCGCGAAAGUGUGGGGAGCAAACAGGAUUAGAUACCCUGGUAGUCCACACUGUAAACGAUGAAUGCUAGGUGUAAGAGGUAUCGACCCCUUUUGUGCCGGAGUUAACACAAUAAGCAUUCCGCCUGGGGAGUACGGCCGCAAGGUUGAAACUCAAAUGAAUUGGCGGGG